GUGCUCACUUUGGCAGCAUAUGUACCAAAAAUGGAAUGAGACAGAGAAGAUUAACAUGGCCCCUGCACAAAGAUGACAGAAGUUUGUGAAAUGUUUGAUAUUUUU